AUUGAACGCUGGCGGCAGGCCUAACACAUGCAAGUCGAGCGGAUGAAGGGAGCUUGCUCCUGGAUUCAGCGGCGGACGGGUGAGUAAUGCCUAGGAAUCUGCCUGGUAGUGGGGGAUAACGUCCGGAAACGGGCGCUAAUACCGCAUACGUCCUGAGGGAGAAAGUGGGGGAUCUUCGGACCUCACGCUAUCAGAUGAGCCUAGGUCGGAUUAGCUAGUUGGUGGGGUAAAGGCCUACCAAGGCGACGAUCCGUAACUGGUCUGAGAGGAUGAUCAGUCACACUGGAACUGAGACACGGUCCAGACUCCUACGGGAGGCAGCAGUGGGGAAUAUUGGACGAUGGGCGAAAGCCUGAUCCAGCCAUGCCGCGUGUGUGAAGAAGGUCUUCGGAUUGUAAAGCACUUUAAGUUGGGAGGAAGGGUAGUAAGUUAAUACCUUGCUGUUUUGACGUUACCAACAGAAUAAGCACCGGCUAACUUCGUG
rnacentral:rRNA from 1 species